rnacentral:tRNA from 1 species
UCUAAUGUGGCAGAUUAGUGUAGUGGAUUUAAAUCCCAUUUAUAAAUUUUUUAAUUUCUUUAGAA